GGGACCGUGCCGGAGGCCACGUCGAACGGGAGCUUCGGGAGCUCCUCCGAGUAGUAGCCGACCGCGCGGUAGACGCUCUGUACGUCCCAGUCCGU
rnacentral:tRNA from 2 species